CCUACGGGAGGCAGCAGUGAGGAAUAUUGGUCAAUGGACGAGAGUCUGAACCAGCCAAGUAGCGUGAAGGAUGACUGCCCUAUGGGUUGUAAACUUCUUUUAUAUGAGAAUAAAACGUUCCACGUGUGGGAUUUUGUAUGUACCAUAUGAAUAAGGAUCGGCUAACUCCGUGCCAGCAGCCGCGGUAAUACGGAGGAUCCGAGCGUUAUCCGGAUUUAUUGGGUUUAAAGGGAGCGUAGGUGGAUUGUUAAGUCAGUUGUGAAAGUUUGCGGCUCAACCGUAAAAUUGCAGUUGAAACUGGCAGUCUUGAGUACAGUAGAGGUGGGCGGAAUUCGUGGUGUAGCGGUGAAAUGCUUAGAUAUCACGAAGAACUCCGAUUGCGAAGGCAGUUCACUGGACUGCAACUGACACUGAGGCUCGAAAGUGUGGGUAUCAAACAGGAUUAGAUACCCGAGUAGUC
rnacentral:rRNA from 1 species